rnacentral:rRNA from 1 species
AACACAUGCAAGUCGAGGGGCAGCGGGAAGUCAGCUUGCUGACUUUGCCGGCGACCGGCGCACGGGUGAGUAACACGUAUCCAACCUUCCCGUUACUCUGGAAUAGCCUUUCGAAAGAAAGAUUAAUACCGGAUAGUAUCGAGAGAUUGCAUGAUUACCCGAUUAAAGAUUCAUCGGUAACGGAUGGGGAUGCGUUCCAUUAGGCAGUUGGCGGGGUAACGGCCCACCAAACCUACGAUGGAUAGGGGUUCUGAGAGGAAGGUCCCCCACAUUGGAACUGAGACACGGUCCAAACUCCUACGGGAGGCAGCAGUGAGGAAUAUUGGUCAAUGGGCGAGAGCCUGAACCAGCCAAGUAGCGUGAAGGAUGACUGCCCUACGGGUUGUAAACUUCUUUUAUAAGGGAAUAAAGUAUUCUACGUGUAGAGUUUUGUAUGUACCUUAUGAAUAAGCAUCGGCUAACUCCGUGCCAGCAGCCGCGGUAAUACGGAGGAUGCGAGCGUUAUCCGGAUUUAUUGGGUUUAAAGGGAACGUAGACGGCCGUUUAAGUCAGCUGUGAAAUGGUGCGGCUCAACCGUAGCACUGCAGUUGAAACUGGACGGCUUGAGUGCAGUUGAGGCAGGCGGAAUUCGUGGUGUAGCGGUGAAAUGCUUAGAUAU